CCUGGACCUUCUGAGCUACAUCCCUUCAGUAGCAGUGCUUCUGAUUUUGAAAACAGCAGUCACGUGUCUUGUAUGCUUUUGAGUCUUAUGAGGUUCCAUAGCACUUAUUGCUAGGUAAAUGUAAUAGAAUUGCAGCCUUAAAUACGUGUUGUGAGUUGGAAAACAGAUGUUUCUGGAGGUUAUGCCAUACGGCGGCUUUCCUUGACGUAUACCCUUCAUCAACUAAGUGCAGAAAAGCACACAUGGGCACUUGUUAUGGAAAGAUAAUGUCAGGGAACUGACAUCGGAGCUAGAGGUGGAGGGGAGGCUCUCUAAUGAUGCUGGAGAAGGGCCCAGCAGGGAGAGAGGCAGCUCAGCAAAUGGGGAAGCAAUUCAGUGCAACACCAGGAAUAAGGAGGGGCAGAUGGGGGAAUCGGAGAGAGGGCUCCCAGACUCUUCACCGGACACCAGCGGGGAGAGCACUGGUCCUCCGCUACCCACGCCCUCCCUGCACAGAAGACUUCCGCGCAGAGAAAGUAGGAGGAGACUGGGUGUCAAACAACUUUUAUGUUGGAAAAGGUUUAAGAAACGCCCACUGACGGAUUCUGCUAGCGACUGCGGCAGCCACGAAUUGAAGGGCUGUCCAGACAGAAAGGUUUAACAAGGCAACAUAGCCAGGAGAGGCGGCAACUUACGCACGAGCAACCCCAUACCAUUAUAGAUAAGAAUGUAAAUUCACCAGUAAGGACAGGAGGAAAUCUCCAGCCCUCUCCUAUGGGAACAAGCCCCAAUAUACUCUAUUAGCUUUGAACAACUGAGUGGCAACUAAAAGGAGCGGAACUGUCGUUAGUAACCUGUUUCCAUUCAGCAGAAGGGAGCACUGUACUGCAGCACAAAAGGAGCCCAGGAGGCUAGCUUAUUCCACGUCAGGCCUUCAGUGAAUAUAUCCCAUUAUUGGCUGCAGUGGCAGCUCCAGAACACAGGUGACGCUGUGGUCUAAACCACUGAGCCUCUUGGGCUUGCCGAUUAGAAGGUUGGCGGUUCAAAUUCCCGUGACGGAGUGAGCUCCUGUUGCUCUGUCCCAGCUCCUGCCAACCUAGCAGUUCAAAAGCACACCAGUGCAAGUAGAUAAAUAGGUACCGCUGCGGUGGGAAGGUAAACGGCGUUUCCAUGCGCUCUGGCUUCCGUCACGGUGUCCCGUUGCGCCAGAAGCGGUUUAGUCAUACUGGACACAUGACCUGGAAAGCUGUCUGUGGACAAUCGCCGGCUCCCUCGGUCUGAGACUUAACCGGCCAGGGGUCCUUUGCCUUACUGGCUGCAGUGACCUUUCAGGAUUAUCAUAAUAAAUUUCCCAGACUUUCUGUGAUCUGGCAGGGAAUCAGAGAGUCACCUGACUCUUUGCAUGCUAAGUGUGUGCUGUAGCACCAAGCCAUGGCCCUUCCCUACAAGGAAACAUUUCUUGGGAGUUUCCAUGCCAAAUGUUCACUAGGCGCCUGCUUGAUUCACUUUGUUGAAUUUGGGCUAAGGUAAUGAAACAUUGCUGGCCAAAAGAUAGGGCAUGAGGAAGGGCUGGCAAUAAAUUCAUACUAUGCCUGGCAUGUGAAGGAAGUCUCUUUCUCCAACAGCUGUUUACAGAGCCAGGAAAUCAAUAUCCCGACACAGCUUGUGAACGCAACAAGGUUUUGUUUUGCCACAGGGAGAGGGAACCACCCUCUCGUUUGUAAAACUGUUUGACAUAUAAUCGACAGGGCUAUUCUAAGACGCACCCAUUCCAUUUCAUGUACAGAAGCCAACUAGACCAAGACAGCAUGGUUCAUUAUUGUCAAGAGCAGUAGGCUAAGUUAGGGGGUGCAAACCUGCCCAUGUGACACACAGCAGCUGUUCUACAAAACAUCAGUACAGUGGUACCUCGGGUUAAGGGACGCGGGUGGCGCUGUGGCUUAAACCACAGAGCCUAGGACUUGCCAAUCAGAAGGUCAGCAGUUCGAAUCCCCGUGACGAGGUGAGCUCCCGUUGCUUGGUCCCAGCUCCUGCCAACCUAGCAGUUCGAAAGCACAUCAAAGUGCAAGUAGAUAAAUAGGUAUCGCUCCGGCGGGAAGGUAAACGGCGUUUCCGUGCGCUGCUCUGGUUCGCCAGAAGUGGCUUAGUCAUGCUGGCCACAUGACCCGGAAGCUGUACACCGGCUCCCUCGGCCAAUAAAGUGAGAUGAGCGCCGCAACCCAGAGUCGGUCACGACUGGACCUAAUGAUUAGGGGUCCCUUUACCUUUACCUCAGGUUAAGUACUUAAUUUGUUCCGGAGGUCCGUUCUUAACCUGAAACUGUUCUUAACCUGAAGCACCACUUUACUCCUGCUGCCGCUGUGCCGCCAGAGCACGAUUUCUGUUCUCAUCCUGAAGCAAAGUUCUUAACCCGAGGUGCUAUUUCUGGGUUAGAGAAGUCUGUAAUCUGAAGUGUAUGUAACCUGAAGCGUCUGUAACCCGAGGUACCACUGCCCCUUUGAGACAGGUGCCUCACUCUGCCCAAUGGUAGAGAUGGCUCCAGUUGUUGAGGCACAGGCUGUGGCAGAAAGGCUAAAAAAGGAAGAGAUUUUCCCCAAGUCAACUGCAUUCCACCCCCCACCCCACCCCCCAUGUACAAGAUCACCCACACAAGUUCAGUGGUGCAAACUGCCCUUUCUUAAGUCUCCUUUCAAUGCAUAAUUGAAUAAUUAGAAGAGAAUUGUAUAAUUAGAAGAGAAACAACAAAAGGUGCUAUGUAAGAAGGCUGCGUUUUAGACGGUGUUAAAACAUGGGUUUAAAGCAAUGGCAAACCUAGACAGCAUCUUAAAAAGUAGAGACAUCACCUUGCCAACAAAGGUCCGUAUAGUAAAAGCUAUGGUUUUCCCAGUAGUGAUGUAUGGAAGUGAGAGCUGGACCAUAAAGAAGGCUGAUCGCCGAAGAAUUGAUGCUUUUGAAUUAUGGUGCUGGAGGAGACUCUUGAGAGUCCCAUGGACUGCAAGAAGAUCAAAGCUCUCCAUUCUUCAGGAGAUCAGCCCUGAGUGCUCACUGGAAGGACAGAUCCUGAAGCUGAGACUCCAAUACUUUGGCCACCUCAUGAGAAGAGAAGACUCCCUGGAAAAGACCCUGAUGUUGGGAAAGAUGGAGGGCACAAGGAGAAGGGGACGACAGAGGACCAGAUGGUUGGACAGUGUUCUGGAAGCUACCAGCAUGAGUUUGACCAAACUGCGGGAGGCAGUGGAAGACAGAAGUGCCUGGCGUGCUCUGGUCCAGGGGGUCACGAAGAGUCGGACACGACUAAACAACAACAACAACAAAACAUGGGUGCUGACUCCAGGCAGAAGUACCGUAUAUAGCAGACUAAGCAGAAGGACGCUUAAGGACUAUUUUGAAAAUGGGAUUUUGUUAUGAGGAUAAAGCACAUGUCUUCUACACAGCAAACACUAUUCUAUUCAGUGCGCCUCUGCUGAUAUGUCAGUUGGCAGGUGUCAGAAUUGCUGCUCAAUUUAUCGCAGCUGAAGUGUUAGACUGAGCGCCAACAUUUGCAUACAAACUUCAUAGAGGUUGAAGAACUGAGAUACACCAGUGACUGUGGGCAAUCAGUAAAAUGCAGUGUAUGUAAGAUUUAAAGGGGAAACAGAACUAUAAAUUAUUCAGCCAUUUACAGAAUUAAUUAGGCAGCACUUGCACACACCUGUGUGUGUGUGUGUGUGUGUAAUCGCUAAUGUUGCUUUUUAAAUCUAAUUAGCUUAAAAAUAUAUUGAUUGUAAAAAAUAAGAAUCAAUAUACGUUUAUCACU
rnacentral:lncRNA from 1 species